GACGAACGCUGGCGGCGUGCUUAACACAUGCAAGUCGAACGGAAAGGCCCUGCUUUUGUGGGGUGCUCGAGUGGCGAACGGGUGAGUAACACGUGAGUAACCUGCCCUUGACUUUGGGAUAACUUCAGGAAACUGGGGCUAAUACCGGAUAGGAGCUCCUGCUGCAUGGUGGGGGUUGGAAAGUUUCGGCGGUUGGGGAUGGACUCGCGGCUUAUCAGCUUGUUGGUGGGGUAGUGGCUUACCAAGGCUUUGACGGGUAGCCGGCCUGAGAGGGUGACCGGCCACAUUGGGACUGAGAUACGGCCCAGACUCCUACGGGAGGCAGCAGUAGGGAAUAUUGCACAAUGGGCGGAAGCCUGAUGCAGCAACGCCGCGUGCGGGAUGACGGCCUUCGGGUUGUAACCCGCUUUCGCCUGUGACGAAGCGUGAGUGACGGUAAUGGGUAAAGAAGCACCGGCUAACUACGUGCCAGCAGCCGCGGUGAUACGUAGGGUGCGAGCGUUGUCCGGAUUUAUUGGGCGUAAAGGGCUCGUAGGUGGUUGAUCGCGUCGGAAGUGUAAUCUUGGGGCUUAACCCUGAGCGUGCUUUCGAUACGGGUUGACUUGAGGAAGGUAGGGGAGAAUGGAAUUCCUGGUGGAGCGGUGGAAUGCGCAGAUAUCAGGAGGAACACCAGUGGCGAAGGCGGUUCUCUGGGCCUUUCCUGACGCUGAGGAGCGAAAGCGUGGGGAGCGAACAGGCUUAGAUACCCUGGUAGUCCACGCUGUAAACGGUGGGUACUAGGUGUGGGGUCCAUUCCACGGGUUCCGUGCCGUAGCUAACGCUUUAAGUACCCCGCCUGGGGAGUACGGCCGCAAGGCUAAAACUCAAAGGAAUUGACGGGGCCCCGCACAAGCGGCGGAGCAUGCGGAUUAAUUCGAUGCAACGCGUAGAACCUUACCUGGGUUUGACAUGGAUCGGGAGUGCUCAGAGAUGGGUGUGCCUCUUUUGGGGUCGGUUCACAGGUGGUGCAAGGCUGUCGUCAGCUCGUGUCGUGAGAUGUUGGGUUAAGUCCCGCAACGAGCGCAACCCUUGUUCACUGUUGCCAGCACGUUAUGGUGGGGACUCAGUGGAGACCGCCGGGGUCAACUCGGAGGAAGGUGGGGAUGACGUCAAGUCAUCAUGCCCCUUAUGUCCAGGGCUUCACGCAUGCUACAAUGGCUGGUACAGAGAGUGGCGAGCCUGUGAGGGUGAGCGAAUCUCGGAAAGCCGGUCUCAGUUCGGAUUGGGGUCUGCAACUCGACCUCAUGAAGUCGGAGUCGCUAGUAAUCGCAGAUCAGCAACGCUGCGGUGAAUACGUUCCCGGG
rnacentral:rRNA from 1 species